rnacentral:misc_RNA from 1 species
AAUCAAAACACAAAGGAAAAGAGAGAGAUUGAUUGAUUGAUAAAAUUUUUUAUAUGGACCAAAUAUUACAAACUAUGAUGAUCCUCAAUCUGAUCUCAUCUUAUUAAUCUGAUUCAAAGCUGGUUGUAGAAUGUUGUAAGCUACCCAAAGCAAAGCAGGUGUUACAACAAUCAGCAAAAGUUGUCCCCUGUUAUCACUUGCUGAUUCUGCAAUCGUGGCGAUAUCGGUAGCAGCAGAGGCUUCUGGAGUGUUAAAGAAGCCUGUUGCUGCAAGCCCUGUAAGACCAAGCCCGAUUAUAACUCCUUGAUUCCUCAUUUUGUUGAUUUGGUUUAGUGCUGGUUGAAGAAUGUUGUAAAGAACCCAGGCUAGAGCCGGGAUCAAUGGUAGCAACAGUGCUAAUCCCCUGUUAUCUCCUCCUUCAGCUAAUUCUGCGAUUUGUUGAGCUGCAAAUGCGGAGUCACAUGAGCUUAGGGUAGAGAAAACGGCACCUGCAAUUGCGGUUCCAGUGAGUGGGAUGGAUAAAUUUGAGGGCUUUGAAGUUAAGAGACCUUUGGGGAGGUUGUGGAUGGAGAGAAGAGAGAUGGGUUUUGGCUUUGAUGGGUUGUUAAUAGAUGCUUUGGUGAAGCAUUUGGCGUUGAGGACGGCCAUGGUAGCUAUGGUGGCUGCCAUUUUUUUCCUUUUCUUUUUUGUUGGAUUGGUAAUGGUUGGUUAAAUGUAUAUAAAAAGAAGAUAGACUCAAAGUGAUUAUAAAUGAGAGAACCAAUAAGA